CUCCGCCCCAACCCGCCUCCAGUCUACCCCCUCCUUACGUCACAGCGCUCCCUGGCCCGCCUGUUGAGCCGACCUGGCUGCUCUCUCCCGCAGAGAGCAGCCAGAAUGUCAACUGCAAGCCUGCAAGUAUCAGUUAUUGCAAUACAUUAUAGAAAUGAUCCAACAUAGCGUGAUGUAGAAGCUGUAAUCCCGGCUCAGUGAUUGACCACCAUAUCUGAAGGCCCCCAUACAUCAACAAUCAAUUGGGACAAUUUGGCGUUUGGCAGAUGAUUGUAAAGUGCCGGAGUUUUCCUAAAGACUGAAUCUGCCACGUGACAAUAAUAUACUGUUUCCUGUUGUGUCUGGAUGGCGGUACCUUUGACCCUGAGAUGUGACAUCCGUGAACCUAUAAGAUGGCGUUUUGAGAACCUAGUAAAUCCGAACCCGCUCAUCUCUACUGUUGAUGUGACUCCCUGCCCUUGGGUGUGACUCUCUCCCACUUGGCUGUGACUCCUCCCCUGUGUAUGUGACUCCCUCCUCCUGGCUGUGACUCCCUCCCCCUGGUGGUGACUCUCUCACCUUAGUUGUGAUGUGGUUGUGACUCCUUCCCUCCCCUGUUGAUGUGACUCCCUGCCCUUGGCUAUGACUCCCUCCCACUUGGCUCUGACUCCUCCCCUUGGAUGUGACACCCUCCCCUGUGUAUGUGACUCGCUUCCCUGGCUGUGACUCCCCCGUUGAUGUGACUCCCUGCCUUUGGCUAUGACUCCCUCCCACUUGGCUCUGACUCCUCCCCUUGGAUGUGACUCCCUUCCCUGGCUGUGACUCCUUCCCCCUGGUGGUGACUCUCUCACCUUAGUUGUGAUGUGGUUGUAACUCCUUCCCUCCCCUGUUGAUGUGACUCCCUCCCACUUGUCUGUGAUCCCUCCCCUUGGAUGUGAGUCCCUUUCCUGUGUAUGUGGCUCCCUCCCACUGGCUGUGACUCAUUUCUCCUGGCUGUGAUUCCCUCCCCCUGGUGGUGAUUCUCCUUAGUUGUGAUGUGGUUGUGACUCCUUCCCUUCCCCGUUGAUGUGACUCCCUGCACUUGGCUAUGACUCCUUCCCACUUGGCUGUGACUCCUCCCCUUGGAUGUGACUCCAUCCCCUGUGUAUGUAACUCAUUCCCCAGGCUGUGAUUCCCUCCCUUGGCUUUUUAAUUAAAUAUUAAAUACACAAACAUAAAAGAACCAGUACUGCACUUUCUAA